ACUCCUACGGGAGGCAGCAGUGGGGAAUAUUGCACAAUGGGCGCAAGCCUGAUGCAGCCAUGCCGCGUGUGUGAAGAAGGCCUUGGGUUGUAAAGCACUUUCAGUCGUGAGGAAGGUAGUGUAGUUAAUAGCUGCAUUAUUUGUACGUUAGCGACAGAAGAAGCACCGGCUAACUCCGUGCCAGCAGCCGCGGUAAUACGGAGGGUGCGAGCGUUAAUCGGAAUUACUGGGCGUAAAGCGCAUGCAGGUGGUUUGUUAAGUCAGAUGUGAAAGCCCGGGGCUCAACCUCGGAAUAGCAUUUGAAACUGGCAGACUAGAGUACUGUAGAGGGGGUAGAAUUUCAGGUGUAGCGGUGAAAUGCGUAGAGAUCUGAAGGAAUACCGGUGGCGAAGGCGGCCCCUGGACAGAUACUGACACUCAGAUGCGAAAGCGUGGGAGCAAACAGGAUUAGAUACCCCUGGUAGACUGUCA
rnacentral:rRNA from 1 species